rnacentral:rRNA from 1 species
UACGUAGGGCGCAAGCGUUAUCCGGAAUUAUUGGGCGUAAAGAGCUCGUAGGCGGUCUGUCGCGUCGGCUGUGAAAACCCGGAGCUCAACUCCGGGCCUGCAGUCGAUACGGGCAGACUGGAGUUCGGCAGGGGAGACUGGAAUUCCUGGUGUAGCGGUGAAAUGCGCAGAUAUCAGGAGGAACACCGGUGGCGAAGGCGGGUCUCUGGGCAAUUCCUGACGCUGAGGCGCGAAAGCGUGGGGAGCAAACGGG